AAAAGGGACAAUAUCCCGGGACACCGGAGGAAACCCGGCAGCUGAUCCACUUUCGGGCUGAAAACAAGCAGAAGUUUCUUAAAUCAAAAUAUGCUGCAAAGCAACUAUGGCGUACCUGCCAACACUCCUGUUUUUUACGUGUUUCUCCCGUUUUUUAGCCCUAUCUCCCGGACCCUUCCUGGUUUGUUAUUUCUCCCGGGAAAUGUAAUUUGCAUGGCCCAAACUCCUUUAUAAAUAAUCGGACCAAUGUGUUUGUCCAAUGUUGAGAAGUUGCCAGGUCUUGUAUGAAACA